UAACUCAACGCUCAAGUCUCCAAAGUCAAACAGGAAAAAGAGUGGACGAGAGCGAAACGAAUGUGGGGGUCCCGAGACAACACGUUGAACCGCUCUGUAGGUUACGUGUGUACUAUAUAGGGAAAAAAAAUGCCUCUCUCUACGUAUAUGCGUUGUGUGUCUGAUGGACCAACUUUUGGUAAUAACGGCUAUUUCGUGUUUACUGUCGUAAUGGAUGUUUGCCGCGACGCCGUGCGGUCAAGCCUCACGAUAUUUCCGCACCACUCCGCUCGAGGUCAAGAGAAGACAACAGUUUUGCUUCGACAACCAAAGUCAGCAAAAACAACAAGAGAAAACAACAAGAGAAUCGAAAAAAAAAAAGCCGUAAAUUGUGCGACAAUCAUUUUUAACAGGCGACACAAGGCGGAAACAAAACCAAACACCAAAAAGGAUUUAGGGGAGCGUGUGAGGCGGACAUUGCCGGAAAAAGAAAAAAAAACGAUUCAUGGUGUACAUACAUAUACGCACCCGUAUUGUAUGUAUCAUUUGCAUCACGCAGCACAAAAGGCAGCAUCUCCUUGUUUAUGUAUAGCACAGGAGCCUGCUGGAAUCACCUGGGAUGUAUAUAACACACAGGGUGGAAGAUAGAGAGACCCUAUGAUAUUCGCUUCCUGUCAGUUGAGCUCGGCUUUGUUCGUCAUUUCGACUGUUUCUGUUGUGCUGUGCAGCGCGGAACUAGCGUUUAACGUGGCCAGUCGUUUUGUUGUUUGGUCAAUUGUUGUUGUUGUUGUUUUUUUUAUCGCUUAUGAAUAAGUCGAUACGGGUCGAGGCCUAUUAAACUAUGGAAUAUCAUUAGAAUAAGAAACAAGUUGCCGACGAAUGCAAAAGUGCGGAAGCUUUCACUGUUCUAUCCCCUUUUCCGUGUGUAAUUGGCGUUCACUAGGUUUCGAUCCUUUCAAACAGAAAAGAGUUUCGUUGUUCACGGUGAAAACGAUGCAAUUGUAUCAGAAAGGAAAACACAAAAGACAAAAAAGACAGACGAGAUAACAACGGCAGAAAACGGCGGAAGAUGAGAUAAUAUGAAGGAAAGAGGAAAGAAUUAAAGCGGCAUAGCUCAAAGGAGUUGGACAGUUAUGCAGCCGACCAAACGCCAGUUCAUUUUCGGCCUUUUUUUUCUUUCUUUCUUUCUUCUUUCCUUUUGCUGUACACAGUCAGAAAGAGAAACAUAAUCAUUUCCAUCGGUUUUCGGUUGUUGUUGUUUGCCGUGUCGUUGUGUUCCUCUUACUCAUUCCCGCUUCUCGUUUAAUCGAACGACGUAUAUGUAUACGUAACAAAACGAGAAAAAGGAGAGUAUCUAACAAUGAACAGAGUUUCAAAAGAGAAAGAGGAAAUGAGACCACCCAUUCAUUUUGGAAUUCCAUUUUUUGUUUUUUGUUUUUCAUUAAUUUUUUUCUUAUUCUCAUUUCUCGAGUGGGGGAUCAGGACAACGAUCUUUAUAUUCAGAAAAGAAGGUGGUACGCUUUAAUACCGGGAUGAAUGUGGCAUUUGCAGCGCAAUAAAACAAUGAGGAACAACUGCAAUUUCCGGUGAAAUGCGGUUCAAUUCAGGCGCAAUUGAUCGUGUUUGGCUUUUAUAAAGUCGUCGUUGAACAUCAAGUCUCUUUGAGGCGUCACACAGGAUGGACAGAACCACGGAAUCUCCUUCAAAUUCAAAGGGGUUGAGCUGAAACCACUCGGAUUCCGGUUUCAUUGAAAAACGAUCGAUGGGCGGGGAAACUCAUAUUUUAUUCGGAAUCAGCGUUUAAUUAUAUAUUUUAUAGGAGGUUAGAUUUCAUCAAAUACCAAUCCACAAUUUUAAGUUCAACUCAAAAAGGCAUAGAGAAAGAAAAAAGAAGAGGGAAGUGGAUCUAUUGAAAUCUAACCGACACCAUGAAGCGAGUUGGCCAUCUACCACAGACCUACUACGAAGAAACGACGACGACGACUUGAUGGAUCGUAAAAACAUCUUUGGCCGAUGUGUCUCUCUUCUUCUUCUUCUUCUUGGCUCUCUCAAUCCGUUUAUGUUCACCUGGACAUUUUCUUCAGCGUCUCCUAUGUCGCAAGGAAAUUGACAUAUAGUCUGUGUGUGUGUGAUUCUGUGAAAGAUGGAUGCGUCCCCUACCCUCUUCUUUCUAGUGAAAAAUAAUAACAACAUAGAGACACACACAAUACGCUGGUUGGAUAUGUAGAAGAGAGAGAGACAAGUGGGUCCCACUCUCCAAUGUGUUCGACCUCUUGGCUCACAAGAGAUUGAUCCACUACGUAAGGUGCUGCGACAGCGUCACAUCGAGCUGGGCGGGCUCAUAAAAAAUAAAAAGGAGAAAGAAAAAAAUAUAUACACAACAGAGCAGAGGGGGGUUUAUAAAUGUAUAGGCAAUCUUCUUCUUAAAAAAAAAAAAGGAGGAUCACCUCCGUCACUAGCAACCACACACACAGACAAGAUACCCAAAGACAAAAAAAAAAGAAAAGAAAGAAUAAUACCUCCUUCUCCAUUUCGGUUACCUCAAAUUGACAAACAAGUUUCCUUCUCCAGUUGGUCGACGGAUGACAUCCUUCUCUUUUUUUUAUUUUUUAUUUUUUUUUUUGCUUUUGGGCCCGGCCCUUAUUAUCGUCUUUCUUCUUUUAGCUCUUGUUGGUCGACUCUCAUCUCUCAAGUUGUUCUUAAAAAAAAAAAAAAGAAAAGAAAUAAUUCCUUAUCAGUUUAAAAAGAUCGACUAGGAAAUUGAAAUAUGUCUGUCGCAGACAUUCUUCUGCCUGUUCUUCUUCUUUGUUGCACAAGUUUUGUUUUCACGUGCCUGUUGAGAGGGCGAGUAUAGCCAGUGAGGGGUUACCAUCUUACGUAUACAGAAUGUUUCAUCAGGAAUAGAUGGAUUGAAACAAGAGGAAAACAUUAUCGGAAAUAUGUCCCAUAUAACUCUUUUAAAACGGUUCACAUUUCCAUCAAAAGAAAUGCUCUGUACGGCAAUCGAAAACUGACAGGCAUUUAGCAAUAAAAACAUUUUGAAUUUCUUCGUAUGUAUCGGAGGAGAUCAAGAACUCACCUCCAUCUUUGUUUAUUGCUUAAGUUUUUCUUUCUUUUCUUGAAUACGUAUACAAGAUCCCGUUCUUGGUAUUAGCGCAAUACACCGACAGUUAUACUUGAUUAAAUUCCUAUGGUAUCAGAGAAUGCACGUCGGGAUUGAAUGUACGGUAACCUGUUGUUAUAUACAUGGCCAUGAAACUUAACAUCCCAAACGAAGAGCGCUAUCAUCGAAAACUAUGCGUUAACAGCCAAUUAUAAUUUCCAAGUCCUACACAUCCGGACGUGCGUGAUUCCCGGUCUAAAAUCAAGUUGGACAACAAGUUUCAUAGAUAUACGUCUCCAUCAGGAGCGCAGUUGGAGAAGGUGUGGCCGCGGGAUGUUGUUUACCAUUCGCGCACACGAAGAUUGUGGCCAAUUUAUGGAAAAAGCCAACAAUAAAAAAUGGGGAAAAAAAGGAGAUCUCCUCUUUAUCCCUCGUUUAUUUUGUUGUGGAAAGGCCAUAGUCAACGUGUGUGUCUCACGGAUGCGCACGCGUCAAACUCCAUUAGACAUUCACAUGGACAACUGAGGCCCUGCCCCGUGAGUUCCGAACGAUUUCCCUCACGUCGCUUCGUGCUGGCAGUCAUCCUAUGUGGUCGAGUCGGUAAAAGAUUCUUUCAUUUUUCCUCGUCCCGUCCGAUACCGAAUUUUAUUUCUUGCCUUUUAUUCGUCGUCUUUCCGUGUCCAUAUCCUUCUAUUCCCUUUUUUAUUCGUUAUUGACGUUGUGAGUUGCUUUUAACCGCAACUCUCCACACAUUUUUUUAUUAUUCCCUUUUUUUAUAUGAACAGACAUAUCGACUCUGCGUGUGACCUCGGCAAAAAUAUUUCCAAAGUAUAUAAUAUUUUGUUGUUUGGUUUAUUUUUCCUUCUUUUUGCGUCCGUCUGGUUCGGGUCAUAUGGACGUCUAUGGCAUUUUCUUUUCAGACGGACGCAUAGUCAUCAUCGUUUUAGAGGAGGUAUACACCUUUUCCCCCGCUUUUGCUGUUUGUGUGUGUGUUUGCAGUCCAUCAUCAAAGAGUCGGCAAAAAGCCGCAGGAAAUCAAAUAAAAAGAAUGAAAAAGAAACAGAGAGAUGCAAGUCGAUUUUGAGUGUUUUUAAAAGAAGUUGAAAGAAGAACGACAUGAAACACGAAGAAAAAGGCGUGCGUUUUUCGCAGCCUCGAAACCAACACAUUUUUGUGGGAAAUAGCACAAGCGGGGGGUUCGCAUAAGUUCUUGUUUAUUCUUUCAUUCUUCCUUGCCCGAUUUUUUAUGAUACCUCUCAAUAAAAGACAAGAAAAGGGCAAAAAACAAACAAAGAAUAAGAGACGAUAUCCCCCGGUCGGAGCCAUUGUCAUUCGCCCCCUAUCAUCUCUGAAACGAUAUAAUAUAAUUUUUAAUAUUCCGUGUUGGGAUAAAGAGAGUCUCCUAACAAAAUAUACGUGCAGCUCAAUAAUAUAAAUAUCGAUUACGUUUGUAUAAGCAAAUCCCCAGUUGUUAUACGACCGCGUUAAAGACAAACUGAAAAAGUAAUAAAUAAAAGAAAGAAAAGAGAAAGACACAAUAAGACGGUUGGGCGAUUCAGUUUUUGAAACUCCCGCACAUUAUUAUUGAGGUCUUCUUCCAUCCAUUUCGGAGGAAAAAUUAAAAAUAUCAUUUUAUUCAUGCGCUCGACCCCCCACUGUUGGAAAAAAGGGAAUCGUUGAUGCAUUUCUCGAUGCUCUGCAGACGCAAGAAGAAAAUACAUUACACGGAGGAAGGGACUCCAAAAGCAGGAAAAGAGCGAAACCUAUCAAUGGUGAUGAAUCAGCUGGGCAUUUGAUUUCAACAAUCCAUCAUCUGAUGAUCCGCUUUCCCCCCCCCCUUUCACACGCAAUUCCGAUUUGUUCUACGUUGUUUAUACUUUCCUCGUUUCUCAUUGAAUGAACGAAAGGCAGAAACACAAACGUUUUUCAAAUUCGAAGCGGAACAAAACAAAAAUUUAAGAAAGGUCACGUAGGGAUCGAAUUGCCCAGAUGGAUUGGGUUUAACGUGACCAAUAAAGUUUCGUCUUUCUAUAUUCGCUUUUUGGCGACGUGCGUGUAAAGUGCGCGCUAGAAGACAGGUAAUAUACGUUCUCGGUUGAAGGGACGCGACGCUGUCGCAAAGAAUCGUGCAUCCAUAAAUCCGACUCGAAUUGACAUUUUCUGUAUAUAUACGUUAUAUAUGUGAGUGCGUAUAUAAUAAUAGCUAUAAACAUGUACACAGUAAAAUAUGGCAGGUAUAUACGGUCGUUGUCUCUUGUGUCGUGCUGUACUUACCGUGUUCAAACAGCGGGGAGAAACCACAAUUUAUUCAAAUGAAAUCUUCCAGUAUUUUGAUUCUUUUUUUAUUUUUCCUUUCUUUUUCCUAUACGACAUUCUUGC